GAGGGAGCAGCAGCGCCCAUGCCGGCCUGGCUCUCCGACAGGCCCCGUCCCGGGUGUGCUGCCCAGAGCGGUGCCAGGAAAUCCCUGUUCAGACCUGGCUUCGGUGCCGACUCAGAGACGGCCUCCCUUUGCAGAAACAGAACGCUCUCCGGGGCUUCCGUCUUGGACCCGGUGGUCCGUUCAGAGAAGGCCAUGUGGGCGCAGGCCCGGGGAGGCUCAGCGCACAGCUGUUGGCAAGACCCGAUGAGAGGGCUGCGAACUAAAUUCUUGAAUGAAUGAAUAUUGUAAUAAAAAUGAGUUCCUGUGUGGGGAGCGCCCCGGAGGGAGCAAGGCUGUGCUUGCUGGAUCUCUGUCACCAAACAACUCACCGCAUAAGAGCUAUUAUCCCGCAGAGCCCGGGGCAGAGAAAAUGGUCAAGAAACUUGAAGUUUAUUAAUAAAAAUGAUUUUGUUUGAUUCUUUUCA